rnacentral:rRNA from 1 species
GACGAACGCUGGCGGCGUGCCUAAUACAUGCAAGUUGAGCGAUGAAGAUUGGUGCUUGCACCAAUUUGAAGAGCAGCGAACGGGUGAGUAACGCGUGGGGAAUCUGCCUUUGAGCGGGGGACAACAUUUGGAAACGAAUGCUAAUACCGCAUAACAACUUUAAACAUAAGUUUUAAGUUUGAAAGAUGCAAUUGCAUCACUCAAAGAUGAUCCCGCGUUGUAUUAGCUAGUUGGUGAGGUAAAGGCUCUCCAAGGCGAUGAUACAUAGCCGACCUGAGAGGGUUAUCGGCCACAUUGGGACUGAGACACGGCCCAAACUCCUACGGGAGGCAGCAGUAGGGAAUCUUCGGCAAUGGACGAAAGUCUGACCGAGCAACGCCGCGUGAGUGAAGAAGGUUUUCGGAUCGUAAAACUCUGUUGGUAGAGAAGAACGUUGGUGAGAGUGGAAAGCUCAUCAAGUGACGGUAACUACCCAGAAAGGGACGGCUAACUACGUG